GACGAACGCUGGCGGCGUGCCUAAUACAUGCAAGUAGAACGCACAGUUUAUACCGUAGCUUGCUACACCAUAGACUGUGAGUUGCGAACGGGUGAGUAACGCGUAGGUAACCUGCCUGGUAGCGGGGGAUAACUAUUGGAAACGAUAGCUAAUACCGCAUAAUAUUAAUUAUUGCAUGAUAAUUAAUUGAAAGGUGCAAUUGCACCACUACCAGAUGGACCUGCGUUGUAUUAGCUAGUAGGUGAGGUAACGGCUCACCUAGGCGACGAUACAUAGCCGACCUGCGAGGGUGCUCGGCCACACUGGGACUGAGACACGGCCCAGACUCCUACGGGAGGCAGCAGUAGGGAAUCUUCGGCAAUGGACGAAAGUCUGACCGAGCAACGCCGCGUGAGUGAAGAAGGUUUUCGGAUCGUAAAGCUCUGUUGUAAGAGAAGAACGGGUGUGAGAGUGGAAAGUUCACACUGUGACGGUAUCUUACCAGAAAGGGACGGCUAACUACGUG
rnacentral:rRNA from 1 species